GGCUGGGCUCUGCUGCUCCGCCGCCGCCGCCGCCGCUCCCGCCGACACCAGUGCAGUCACACGCCCCUGCUGCAUCCGCUCCGGCCCCUCCCAGCCCGCCUCCCGCCACCCACCCGAGCGCGCAGGGGCUGCACGGGCGCGAGUGAAAAAUGAGACUGCAGAGCCAGUGAAACUGGGGAGAUGGCUGCCAAAGGGAGUGGGGAGGAUGCUGCAGAAGUGGCCUGUGAAAAAUAAAAGAAAGGAGGGAGAAAUCAACUGCUCGAGAUCAGGAAACUCCAAGCAGAAGGCACAGAAGGCGGGGGUAGCCAAGAUGAGGAAACUGAGGCAAGCAGGUGAAGCGUCUCGCCCUGGGACUGGGGAUGUCUGAGGCUGGAUUUGUGAGCCCAGGCUAGGCGUUGUACCCACUGCCCUGGGAAGAUUGAAUUGGCCGAACAUCACCUCCAUGUUCCCACAACUGGAAGGUCAUCUUUUCUUCUCGGAGAGUGGCUCUGGCCCUCUCCCCCGGGCUGGAAGUGACUACACCGAUUAGCACAGGAGCUUGGACCCGCUGCGCUUUAGGUCAGACUGGCAAGCAGCUCCUUACCGGGGGCUCACCCACAUGGUGUCGGCCUUGGUGUGGACGUCCUACCGACUUUCGCCCCGCUACAACUCAGAACUCCCACAACCAAGCAGUGCAGGGGCUCCGUCCCCCUCCCCACCGUCAGUAUGGAUCCCAGACAUGGGUAUGAUCAUACAAUCCCUGAUGAACAGACCAGGUCUUAAAGAGCCACGUUUCAAAUCAAAAUUUGACCAAGAUUCUUCUAAGCAAAUGGGAAAAAAUCCUAUAAUAUUUUUAAUACCCAUGUAUUAGCUAGCAUAGCGUAUCCAAUUCAAAGAUUUACAAUGUGCACAUGGGGACAUGGAGGGAGGGGGACGAUACAGAGAGGGGGAAGCAAACCUAUUUCCAUUGUAUAAAGAAUAAUGAGACCAGGUUGUGUCAUUUUUCAAAUCACAAUAACAUGGAAAAUGAAAUUUUAAAUUAAAACCUUAGGUCAUCCACA